UGUUUUGUCUGAAUAACCAAAAAAAAAACCCAAAAAACUUUUACUUAUCACAACUUAGUAAUUUAGAUGGAAGUAUUUAGUGAUCGGUAUAUACUGUAGUUGUAUUUCAGAUGUUAUUUUGAAAUCCCUUCCAGUUAGCAUCCUUGUUCUGUAUAUAAAAACGUGUACAAAUUUUUUACAUUUCUUAGUUGCACAGGUUGUCUGUGGGCUUGGUGCUGGUUUGUGAAGUCGAAGAAAGCUCUCCCAUUCGCAUACCGGGAGCGAGACAACUCCUUUUGCCUUCUUGACAAGCAAAACAACAUGCUGUCUUUCACAGCAGCAAUUUUUUCUUUGGGGACCAAUUCAGUUUAUUUACCUGUGAAAUGCCACUUUGGUCUGAGGAACAAUUAGUAAGAAAGAACUCCUGUGAAUACUGCAUUGGCACAAUGACAGACAUUAGGAGUCAUAUCCCACCUGGAAUUGGAAUCACAGAGGGAUACUAAUGCACGCGGCUGUGGGGAACCCCACAAGCAACGAGCGACGCACGGAGUACACUGCCACAAGGCGGAACGGGAGGCACCAGCAUCAGAUGGAUAUACAAAUCAUACCUAUCCUGGAGUCCACACGAUGACAUCUGGGAGGAACUCCACUGUCACAUUGUUGCAGCCUUCUCAAAGUUCAAAGUAAGCUUGAAAAAAGCGCAGCACUUACGGACAUCGCUCGAGUUCUUCAUACAGAAAUAUUUUUCCUCCAUCUUUACAAAGCUGAAGCAGGCUUGCACACCGUCUCGCUGACACUUGCUGAGAGCUUCCAGGGAAACAAACAGAACACCAGAAAUAAAAUAUGAAUUAUUGGCUGGAAUGGAUAAAUAUUUUUUUCUGUUUCACUACUGAGGGCUCUGUAACUCAGAAUUUCUCUCAACAGAUCGCCGUAAUGGGUACUGCCAGCAAAGAAGGCAGAAGCUGAGAGUCAGAAACAAAUUAGUUUUCAGAUUUUGAGAAAACAAAUCUCAAGCCUAGCUUUUUAUACGUAUCCCCACCCGAGUGUAUCUCAGACAACAAUAAGGAUUUGUGUGCUUGUGGAGCUGUGGUGUAAUUAUACCAUAUUCAAAUUAUAACCAUGUGUAGAUGCUCUUAUUCUGAAAUAAUGUUAGACUGUACCUAUAGAGUGUAAUGCUCUUCAACGGUGGGUUCAAACUAAACAGUUCCACAAAUGUAAUAGACAAGGAUGUUCAGAAAUUCUCUAAAUAAUUAAACAAGUGAUUCGAGGCAAAGUUUCCAGCAUUUGCGACUGCAGCUAAUUACCGAUGUAGCACUGUAUCUGCCAGGAAAGAAUCUGCCCAUGCUGUGACUGUUGCUGCUACCGCGCGCACGGGCCUGGUGUCACGAUUCAGUCUGCUUACUUAAACGUGGAUAUGAAUUAAUCUGACUUGGGAACUGAAGUGCUGCAUUUUGAGACAGAGCCCCAACUUCAAACAUGGGGAUGCACUACAAAAAUCCGAUUUUACUUCUCUUCCUCCCUCACUAAUUUCACUUCAAUGACAGGUUCCAAUUAAAAGAAAAAUAAUCAGACUCAUGAACAUGUAAAACAAAGACAAAACUAACAAGCUGCUACGUUGGAUGUUUAAUCCCUCCACUGAAAUCCACUCUCCACAAGGAUUAGACAAUAGUUCUUUAUUACAGAACGCACACGAGGGACAAGCUCUCCUAUUGUGCUACUCGUUAUCGUGCACAGAUUUCAUCUCAGAGUAAUUGUUACUUGUUUAGGUGAUGUGCAGUACUGUAAGUACUGAACGGCAAGUCACCCAUACAUUUCGUUGUCAGGGACUUUCUUCAUGUGAUCCUGUGCCUGUGAGUAAAUCUGGAUUCGUAAUCUCUUACUCCGCAUCUUCACCAUCCUUGUUACCUUCUUUCCCUUCCCACAGCGAGCCCAGCUCCCUGAAAAGUUACAUCCUGGGCGAGUAACUUUCAAGUUAAGGUACACACCAGGGAGGAGAAAGGGGAGUUGAUUGUUUCAAAAAGAGACUGAGAAUUUACAAAGCACCUGCCAAUUAGCCAGACCUUAAUUUUGCAAAUUUAUUUAGGAAAAAAAAAAAUUAACAUGAGCAAAUGAGAAUACUUCAGUGUUACAACAGAGUAUAUAAAUGUCUAGCAAUAGUCAAAUAAUUUGAUCUUUAAAUACAAAAUAACCACAUGAACACCUAAUAUACAGGUUUCAUCUGAAUACAUAUUUAUUAGAUAAAUAUUAGGUUGUCACAUCAUCUAACUACAUACAGUUUUGCAAGACUAAAAAUCACAAUUAUUUUUCUGACCAGUUUAAAGUAUGAAAUGAUUGCAUUGUACUGUACAUACAAUGUACAAACAAAGACAAUGGCCAUUUUUGCAUGUUACUUCGGAUUGUACUUUUUUAAUUCUCCUCUGAUCAUGAUAUCAAAAAUUGUACAAAGUAUGAAUUUGGUUACAAUUUUUUUUUAAUCCCCUUAUUUUUCUUCAUUAUUUCUGUAGCACCCUAAAAAUACACAGGUGAUAGACUAGUACACGUAAGCUAAAUAUUACAUGUAGAUAAAACAAAAC